CGCAGGCUGCAACCCGCCUGCGUGAAGUUGGAAUCGCUAGUAAUCGCGGAUCAGCAUGCCGCGGUGAAUACGUUCCCGGGCCUUGUACACACCGCCCGUCACACCAUGAGAGUUGGGAAUACCCGAAGCCUGUGAGCUAACUUUACGAGGCAGCAGUCGAAGGUAGAAUCAAUGAUUGGGGUGAAGUCGUAACAAGGUAGC
rnacentral:rRNA from 1 species